rnacentral:rRNA from 1 species
AUUGAACGCUGGCGGCAUGCCUUACACAUGCAAGUCGAACGGCAGCACGGGUGCUUGCACCUGGUGGCGAGUGGCGAACGGGUGAGUAAUACAUCGGAACAUGUCCUGUAGUGGGGGAUAGCCCGGCGAAAGCCGGAUUAAUACCGCAUACGAUCUACGGCUGAAAGCGGGGGACCUUCGGGCCUCGCGCUAUAGGGUUGGCCGAUGGCGGAUUAGCUAGUUGGUGGGGUAAAGGCCUACCAAGGCGACGAUCAGUAGCUGGUCUGAGAGGACGACCAGCCACACUGGGACUGAGACACGGCCCAGACUCCUACGGGAGGCAGCAGUGGGGAAUUUUGGACAAUGGGCGAAAGCCUGAUCCAGCAAUGCCGCGUGUGUGAAGAAGGCCUUCGGGUUGUAAAGCACUUUUGUCCGGAAAGAAAACCUUGGCCCUAAUACGGUCGGGGGAUGACGGUACCGGAAGAAUAAGCACCGGCUAACUACGUG